rnacentral:rRNA from 1 species
UACGUAGGCAGCAAGCGUUGUUCGGAGUUACUGGGCGUAAAGGGUGUGUAGGUGGCUUCGUAAGUUCGGUGUGAAAUCUCCUGCUUAACUGGGAGGGUGCGCCGAAAACUGCGGAGCUGGAGCGCAGGAGAGGAAAGCAGAAUUCCUGGUGUAGCGGUGAAAUGCGUAGAUAUCAGGAGGAAUACCGGUGGUGAAGGCGGCUCUCUGGGACGGUACUGACGCUGAGACGCGAAAGCGUGGGGAGCGAACAGG